rnacentral:misc_RNA from 1 species
GAUGAAGAACGCAGCGAAAUGCGAUAAGUAAUGUGAAUUGCAGAAUUCAGUGAAUCAUCAAAUCUUUGAACGCACAUUGCGCCCGCUAGUAUUCUGGCGGGCAUGCCUGUUCGAGCGUCAUUUCAACCAUCAAGCCCUGUUUAGGCUUGUGUUGGGGCCCUGCGGCUGCCGCAGCCCCCUAAAUGCAGUGGCGGGCUCGUUGUCACUCCGAGCGCAGUAGCGUAUCUCGCUCUGGGCGUGGCGGCGGGUGCUAGCCGUGAAACACCCACUAAGGUUGACCUCGGAUCAGGUAGGAAUACCCGCUGAACUUAAGCAUAUCAUAACGGAGGA